CUCAGUCUCCACGGACUCCCAACCCAAAGGACAGCACUGAGCUACCACUGGGCUUUAACCCUUAGUGGCCAUUGUUCUGAAACCAUGAAGAGAACCUUUCUUAGGUGCCAAGCUGGUGACCUUGAGUAAGUUCAUCUUAUAGAGCUUCAGUUUCUUCUUAUAUAAAUAUGGAACAAAUAAUCGUGAAACAAAGGAUUCUGAUGCCCAAAGCAUGUUGGAAUCACAGUUACAAAACAAAACUGGCCUGGAGGAAGAUUUUUCAUUAGCAAGG